GGUGCAGUAGCAGCUCUGAGCAUGUGCUGGACAAGCGGGCCGUCCCCUAUAAACUUUUUAUAGCUCAGGAAAAUAAACAUGUGGUUUUAGGUCUUCGCAUAGGCAGUGCUCGGCUGAGUUUGAGCUUGCUUCACAGAGCUACGAAAGAAAACAUCAGGAGAGCUCAUAAAUGUUGGAGCCAGCCAAGGGACUGUCGUGCAGACAUCUCGGCUGCGUUGGGGGCUUUGGGAGAGAAGCAGGAGGCCCCCGGGCAGCUGCCACCUCACUCCUGCCUGCUGCUGAAUGGGCUUUCCUGGGGGAGCUCACUAGGCCCCGUGUUCCCUGCUGGGGCCGGGAAACAGCUUCAGGGAGGGUCAGUGGGGUCCCUGGAGGUGGUUUCCAGGUGAGGGACCAGGGUCCGCUGGGUCACACAGCUCCUUAGAGCCAGCACCAGGGUGCUUUGUAUUUUGGUAACUUUCAAAGCACCCACCAGGGGCUGUCCAGAGGGUGGGGGUGGGGGGCACAGACCCCAGGUCAGGGAGCAGGGCAGCCGGAGAGGUUCCGGGACCACAGCUGUGGUUCGCUUCCUGGGUUUCUGGAAGAGCAGGGGUCGGGGGGAUGACUUGGAGGUUUCCGGUUAGGGCCCUGGGUGGUCAGACUCAAAUGAACAGCAUUGCUUUUGUUGCCUUUUAUGAAGCCUUUGCUUGGUGCCGGGAACUUCCGCCACGCCCCCGCAUCCUCACAGCCCUCAGAGGCCCGCACAAUCCCCAACUUGUCACUCAACGCCCCGCAAACCCAGAAGCUCAAGGCAUUUGCCCACAAGCACUCGGCUGGUAAACACACAGCCAGAGCCAGGUCCAGGCUGCCUGACCCUGAACCUGUUCUCCGGCCCAAAGAGUUCCCAGUAGCAGGUUGGGGAAAAGCAGCCAAGGAGGCUGAAGCAGGCCAGGGUCAGGAUCCUGGUGCCGGCGGGUCAGCGUGGUCCAGGCCGGAGUGGAAAUUCAGAGCAGCUGCCACAGGUCGCCCGGCUCGGGUGUGGCUGGGAGGUGGCAGCUGCCUCUAAGU
rnacentral:lncRNA from 1 species